CUGAGUUUUAUAAAAGUUAACCAAGUUAAGUAUGCUUCUACCUACAGUGACAAGAUGUGAAAUUUAGCCAUCUAUUCUCAAGUGAAAUCUACAGUAAUCCUGGUUAACUCACUCAUCAGAAACUGGGAAGGGCAAAAGUUCACAAGCACAGGACUGUCCCAUCUGUUUGCAAGAUGACUGUUACCACUUAGGCUCUCAGCAACUUCAGUUUACAAAUAUUUGGCUGCAGUAAGAGGAAUCAGAUGGAUGACUAUGCUUUUGGAAAUUCAGAAUUGUCUAACAUACCACAAAGAGAGGUAAAAGAUAACCUUUUCAUGGAUUCGCCUGACUGUUCUCAUGCUUUAGUUAAACAAUAAAGUCCCAAGAUCAGAUACAAUUCCUUCUGGUAACAAAAUUUAUAAUCUAUAUUCUUAGUAGAGAAGUGAUCUAAUCAAUAAAAAAUAAAUACAAAACUUGAAGAACAGAUACAAAGACCAGCGACAGGACCUGGAGGUCUGUUGCCAAGGGAUGCCAUAUAUUAAUGUAUGUGUUUAUUUACUGUUCAAUUAGCUACCAUAGAUACAGGGAGAAGACAACUCAUCUGAGUAAUCUAACUGUCAGGGUAGCUGAUAAAAAUGCCUUUACAUGCUGGAAGGCAAAAAAGGCAAAAAAUAUAACAUGCUGGAACAUAAUGCUGGAUGGUAAGCAAGAGAUUGCAGUUAAAGCUGAUCUCAUGCUUUGAUAUUGGGGAGAGAAGAUAUGCUUGAAAAACACAAAAAUAUGUCUAAUGGUUUAUUUCUUAUAUUGUUCUACUUGUAUUAUCCAUUAUCAGACAUUGAUACACUGGAAUGAUAAAACCGCUAUCAUCAUCUCAAAAAAAAAAAAAAAUCAGAAAAUUAAUGAUUGAUCAUGGCUUUAAAUGAUAAGUACAACAAUUUCCUUUGAAUCAUUCAUCAAAAGGAUUGAGAAUUAUAUCAGGAAGAAAAAUUACAACAGUUCAACUUCUGUCAUUUUCCCACCUUUUACUAAGUAAUUUACAUUCCUUUUUAUUUUCCAUAUUAUGAGAUCAUUUCCAAAGCUUAAAAUAACUUGGCAGCUCUACAAACAUAUUCUGUUUUCUUAACGUUUCCUUGUUUACUUAUUACAUGGAUUAGGUUUUUGAACAGUGGUUUUCCGGCAAAUCAGUAAAAGCCUGCAAUGUUCUUUAAAAGGAAGAUAAGAGUCACACACAGUGCAAUCCAAAUGGCUCAGUUUUGAAAACUAUUAAAUGUAUCCUUAAAAAUAUCAAUCCUAAUGAAUCCACGAACAAAACUAUCUGUUAAAGUGAGUGUUUACCAGUGUAGAAAAGAUUAUAAAAAUCAUCCCAGAGAAAUCAUUCUCUCUCUCAUGUUUAAUGACUAACAAGCUGGAUGUAAAGAAUGGUAUAUUCAAUAAAGACUGUCUUGAAUAUAGUCUUUUUGUAAAUGACGUGUUGCCCUCCACAAGAGGCAUGUUGUUCUGGCAUUUUAGAGGCAAACUGAAAAGCAUUUAGUGUAAGAAAUCCAGUGGUUUGUGAUUACAAAUCAUUACUUAAACAAUGUGAACUUGAACAUAUUUUUCAUGAUGUUCCUUAUAAUUCUGAGUUUCAACUACAAAACCCCAAAUAUUUCGUUAUCAGAAAAGCUGGAAAGGAAAGUGCUUUUAAGUUAAGACAACAAUUUAUGAUGCCAUCUUCCAGAACAGCCAAAACUCACUGGUUGGGUUUUGAUUUAUGGAACUAAAAAGGAGUGCUGGGAAGGCCAGGAAUAAUUUAUGGAAAUAAUCAAACAGCUGGUUUGAGUCACUGUAGAUCCAUUGCAGUUAUCUGAUUUACAACAGCCAAAUAAUUUAAUCAUAUAAAAUUUGGAUAAAAACACCAGCGUAUUGCAAUUCAACCUUUGUCAGUCUAAGA